rnacentral:rRNA from 1 species
GAUGAACGCUGGCGGCGUGCCUAAUACAUGCAAGUCGAGCGAACGGACGAGAAGCUUGCUUUUCUGAUGUUAGCGGCGGACGGGUGAGUAACACGUGGAUAACCUACCUAUAAGACUGGGAUAACUUCGGGAAACCGGAGCUAAUACCGGAUAAUAUUUUGAACCGCAUGGUUCAAAAGUGAAAGACGGUCUUGCUGUCACUUAUAGAUGAUCCGCGCUGCAUUAGCUAGUUGGUAAGGUAACGGCUUACCAAGGGAACGAUGCAUAGCCGACCUGAGAGGGUGAUCGCCCACACUGGAACUGAGACACGGUCCAGACUCCUACGGGAGGCAGCAGUAGGGAAUCUUCCGCAAUGGGCGAAAGCCUGACGGAGCAACGCCGCGUGAGUGAUGAAGGUCUUCGGAUCGUAAAACUCUGUUAUUAGGGAAGAACAUAUGUGUAAGUAACUGUGCACAUCUUGACGGUACCUAAUCAGAAAGCCACGGCUAACUACGUG